CCUACGGGAGGCAGCAGUGGGGAAUCUUGCGCAAUGGGCGAAAGCCUGACGCAGCCAUGCCGCGUGAAUGAUGAAGGUCUUAGGAUUGUAAAAUUCUUUCACCGGGGACGAUAAUGACGGUACCCGGAGAAGAAGCCCCGGCUAACUUCGUGCCAGCAGCCGCGGUAAUACGAAGGGGGCUAGCGUUGCUCGGAAUUACUGGGCGUAAAGGGAGCGUAGGCGGACAUUUAAGUCAGGGGUGAAAUCCCAGAGCUCAACUCUGGAACUGCCUUUGAUACUGGGUGUCUUGAGUGUGAUAGAGGUAUGUGGAACUCCGAGUGUAGAGGUGAAAUUCGUAGAUAUUCGGAAGAACACCAGUGGCGAAGGCGACAUACUGGAUCAUUACUGACGCUGAGGCUCGAAAGCGUGGGGAGCAAACAGGAUUAGAUACCCUGGUAGUCCACGCCGUAAACGAUGAUUGCUAGUUGUCGGGGUGUUUACAUCUCGGUGACGCAGCUACGACAUAAGUACACUACCGUCCGUCGGGUAGGUACGGUCGCGAGAGUAAACGUACGUAAAGGUAAGUAGUUAGGCGUGAGAGUGCCGACGGCGACGACGAGGGAGGAGG
rnacentral:rRNA from 1 species